GGGUUAAUCCAGCCUCUAUUGGCUGUCUCACUGACAGCCGCUAGAGGCGCUUCUGUGAUUUUCAUUGUUAAAGUCACAGUGAGAAGAUGCUGGACGUCCAUAGGAAAGCAUUGAGUAAUGCUUUCCUAUGGGCGGUUUGAAUGCGAGCACGGCUCUUAUUUAUUUAUAAAAUAUUUUAUCAGGAAAGAUACAUUGAGAUUUCU